AACCUUAAUAUCUGCAGCUGACAUUUUGGACUCUUCAGUCCAUCACAGAGCAGCUCCACUCCUGAGUCCUGUAGGUCAUUGUUACUCAGAUCCAGCUCUCUCAGAACAGAGUUUGAGGAUUGAAGAGAUGAUGCCACAAUUUUACAAUCCUGAUCAAUAAGACUACAGCCAGCAAAACUAUGGGACAAAAUAUAUAUAAAAAAAAAAAAAAAAAAAAAAAAAAAAAAAAAAGUAAAAA